rnacentral:rRNA from 1 species
CCUACGGGAGGCUGCAGUGGGGAAUAUUGCACAAUGGGCGCAAGCCUGAUGCAGCCAUGCCGCGUGUGUGAAGAAGGCCUUCGGGUUGUAAAGCACUUUCAGCGGGGAGGAAGGCGUUAAGGUUAAUAACCUUGUCGAUUGACGUUACCCGCAGAAGAAGCACCGGCUAACUCCGUGCCAGCAGCCGCGGUAAUACGGAGGGUGCAAGCGUUAAUCGGAAUUACUGGGCGUAAAGCGCACGCAGGCGGUCUGUCAAGUCGGAUGUGAAAUCCCCGGGCUCAACCUGGGAACUGCAUUCGAAACUGGCAGGCUAGAGUCUUGUAGAGGGGGGUAGAAUUCCAGGUGUAGCGGUGAAAUGCGUAGAGAGCUGGAGGAAUACCGGUGGCGAAGGCGGCCCCCUGGACAAAGACUGACGCUCAGGUGCGAAAGCGUGGGGAGCAAACAGGAUUAGAUACCCUUGUAGUC